rnacentral:lncRNA from 1 species
GUUGGAAGAAUUUUGUAAAAUAUUGAAUGACUGGAGAAUUUCAGCAAAUGUAUCAUAAGUCAUAGGUUAUUGGGGACAGGAAAAUGUUUUUUUUUAUCCCUCCUUCUUCAUUUCCAAAAUUCCCAAUUUUUGGUUUUCUAUCAAUUUCAAUAUGAACAUACAUUUAGUAUGUUAUGACAUUUAGUAAGGAACCUGUAAUUCAGU